UUUUGGCUAUCAACUAGAGCAGGGGUUCUCAAACUGGGGGUCACGAGCUGUCAUCCUCCACCCUAAAUCCCACUUUGCCUCCAGCAGUUAUAAUGAUGUUAAAUAUAU